rnacentral:lncRNA from 1 species
UCAGCACACUGGAUCCCUGAUCCUCACACUCAAGUUUAUAUGUUCUCUUCCUGUCCUUCCUUGCGCCUGCCUGCCACAACCGAAUUCCAUGUGCCAGCAUUGAGUGACCAUUUAGGUAGGCAUAACGGAAAAGAAAGUUUUUUUUUUUUAAAUUCUAUUUAAGGCACUAUUAAAGUUUUCUGGUUAAAACAUGAACAUAAUAGUUUAUGUCUAAUAAACUUGAAUAAUAUAUUUAAAAUCUGUAUUUUCUGUUGAAUCUUUGUUGAACUAUGUUAUGCAGAGAGGACCAUUUUUUUUCCUUUCGGUCUCAGUAAGAUUCCAUGGGGUUCCCCAUCAGCCCAGGAUGUGACAUUCUGGUUGUUGGAUCCCUGAAGAAUAUGCCAGAGUCCCAGGGCAUUAAGUCUCUUGGCAUAUAUAUUGUUUUACUGCUCUGCUCUGUGGAGUCAGGGAGAUGAUGCCUGUGAGUUCACACUCCUCCACUCCCACUUUCAUCUCCCAUCUCUACUCUCUCUGAUGGCAGUUUUGCUUGCUGCCAAAUCCUGUGCCCCAGGUGCCAAAUAUUUAAACAUAAGUGGUAUUAUACUAUUUGCAGGGGCAUCUCCUCACUUAACCUGUUGGUAGGAUGGCUAUGAUUUUGGCUGCUGCUUUGUAAGUAUAAAAGUCACAACCAGAAUUGUUAAAAUUCUAACUUAAAGUUGGAAUGUCUCUAGGUAGGCUUCAAUGCCUCUGGAGUCACUUUGUCUCUUCAGAAGUGGAGCUAUAUCAGCCUGUGGUAUUACCAUAUCACAUAAGCCCCUCUGUUGCCUCUUGUGAUUCUUGUUGCUGUUAAACUUUGAUGUAAACCCUCCACCAACCCUGCUUCUACCUUUAGCAUUAAAUCUUUCAUUUAGCAAAUAUAGAGAGAAUACCAGCCAUUGCCAGGCACACUGUUAGGUACUAGAGAUACAAGUGAAGAAGGAAAAAGAGACCCUACCCCGAGGUCGAUCAGGAGAAAUGUCCUAGAAAAGCAAUCUAGAACCUGAAGGAGAGAAGCCUAAAGCUGUGUGGGUCUGAUGCUUCCAGGUCCCUCUUUAUGUGAGACACAGGCUUGAAGCAUGUGAUGCAAGCUCACACUGGAAUUCCAGAAGCACCAGGAUGAUAGAGCAGUGAAUCAAUCCAAACCAAGCUGGGCCAGGCUCUGGCAAGCAAUGCGGAAAUGAAAAUCAUUGUUUCUUACUGGUGGUGUUUUGGUUUAUUACAACUUUUUGGUGCUUUCUCAGUGUUACUUAAUACACGUUACAAAGAAAAUAGAUGAACAGCGAUUUCUUGUCAUGAACAAAAAUCACGAAUGUACCUUGCUGGAUGGAUAGCGUUGUCUGGUAUCUGACUGCAGAUCUAACUUUCCUACAAGUUGGCUUGAGGCCUGUUGAGCGACUUCUUAGAAUGGCCCCUCCUUGAGAACAGCUUAAUUAGACAGGAUCUGUGUGGCCAAAGUUGAAGUGAUGCUGCCUUUUUUUCCAGAAUGCCUUCUGAAGAUCUUUUUUCUGCUCUAAAGCAGGCUUUACCAACUCAAAUUCCUCGACUCUUACUAUCCUAAUGCUUGGCAUAAUAGCUCUUUAUCACGAUAAGCCUGUAAGGUCAUGAGUCUCAACUUAACUUCUCCACUUUCAUCAUUCUUCUCCUUUUUUUUUUUUGGUCUUUUUGCCAUUUCUUGGGCCGCUCCCGUGGCAUAUGGAGGUUCCCAGGCUAGGAGUCUAAUCAGAGCUGUAGCCACCAGCCUACGCUAGAGCCACAGCAAUGCAGGAUCCGAGCCAUGCCUGCGACCUACACCACAGCUCACAGCAACACCAGAUCGUUCACCCACUGAGCAAGGGCAGGGAUUGAACCCACGACCUCAUGGUUCCUAGUCAGAUUUGUUAACCACUGCGCCACUACGGGAACUCCUCAUCAUUCUUCUGAUGGCAUUCCAAGUGUCUUCAUUAAUGUUACCACCACCACCACCACCGCUACUUCUAUUAUUUGCACUCCUACUACAGUUGCUGACUCUACAUGACUAAUACUACUCCUUCUACUGCUGCUGCUCCUCCUACCAGUAAGUAGGAGGUAAUAAUAGUGGUAAUAAUAAUAUAGUAUUAUUAUUAUUACCACUACUUCUACUAUUACUUUUACUACUACUACUAUUGACUCUUACUACUACUACCAUUACUUUUGCUACCACUAGUACUAUUACUAAUAGUGAUACUACUACUUCUCUGACUAUUAAACAACUACUAUGACUAUCUCAACUAUUAUCAGCUCUACUCCUCCUUCUCCUCUUACCACUAUUACUAAGCCUUUGUGUGUCUGUGUGUGUGUGUGUAUGACUAUAUUCUAGGCACUGUCCUAGGUGUUUUUUCACUUUUUCAGAACAUCCCUGCAAAAACAAAUAUAUUAUCUUCAUUUUGUAGAUGAGGUUACUGAGGUUCAGAGAGUUUAAGAAACUUUGGUUCUUUGAAUAUUAUUCUCAGCUUGCGGAACACAUUACAACAUUAAUAUAUAAUAUUUAACACCAAAUCAUGCUUGGGCUCCAUAUGUAAUUUCCCUGAAAACUGGGUGUCCCAGCAGUGCUUCCUGGUAUGGGACACACUGGAAGUAACAUGACUAGAACAGCCUGGUGGGCCAGGCAGUUUUCACAGUUAUCAUAGGUUGCAAGGGGUCUUAAUCUUGGGCUGCUAUAAAAAAAUAUCAUAGACUGAGUGGUUUAAACAACAAAUAUUUACUUCUCACACUUCUGGAGGCUGGUAAGUCUAGGAUCACAGUGUUAGCAUGGUCAGAUUGUGCUGAGAGCCAGCUUCCUUCUUGCUGUAUCUUCACGUGGCAGAGAGAGCAGAGAGAGGAAAGCUCUCUUGCAUUUUUCUUGUAAGGGCAUUAAUCCUAUCAUUAGAGGUCCACUCUUAAUAACCUAAUUACCUCCCAAGGGCCUCUCCAAAUUCCAUCACCUUGGAUAUUAGGGUUUCAAUGUAUGAAUUUUUGUGGGAGGGAAGGCAUAAACACAUAGUCCACAACACAAGGGAAGCAAAGGGUUUUCUUGAGGGCAAAUGAUCUCAUUGGAGGAGAAAUACUGUCAGACUCCAGAGUCAGCAAUUAGUGUGGAGACCUGAAUACUCCAUCCUAGGGCAGAUGUGUCAUUAAGCAUUAGUUUUGUUUAUUUUUUGUUUGUUUGUUUGUACUAUCUGCUGAGUGUUGGUUGUUCUGGGCUUAGCGCUGUUAAUUCUUGGCCAGAAAAAAUGAUCUGAAGUAUUGUAGUUGAAACCACUCCACUUGAAGACAGGGACAGAGUCACUUGGAUUAUCAGACAGAUCACCAUUACUAACAUCAGCGAUUCCUGUGUAAUCCUGCAAAUAUACUGACGCUUUGGCAUGAUCUAAUUUUUUUUUUCUUUUUAAGGCUGCACCUGUAGCAUAUGGAAAUUCCUGGGCCAGGGGUUGAAUCGGAGCUGCAGCUGUGGCCUAUGCCACAGCCACAGCAACACCAUGUCUGAGCUGCCUCUGAGACUUACAUGCAGCUUGAAGCAAUGCCAGAUCCUUAACCCACUGAGUGAGGCCAGGGAUCAAACCCUCAUCUCACAGAGACAAUAUCAGGUUCUUAACCUGCAAAGCCACAACAGGAAC